rnacentral:rRNA from 1 species
GAUGAACGCUGGCGGCGUGCCUAAUACAUGCCAGUCGAGCGAACGGACGAGAAGCUUGCUUCUCUGAUGUUAGCGGCGGACGGGUGAGUAACACGUGGAUAACCUACCUAUAAGACUGGGAUAACUUCGGGAAACCGGAGCUAAUACCGGAUAAUAUUUUGAACCGCAUGGUUCAAAAGUGAAAGACGGUCUUGCUGUCACUUAUAGAUGGAUCCGCGCUGCAUUAGCUAGUUGGUAAGGUAACGGCUUACCAAGGCAACGAUGCAUAGCCGACCUGAGAGGGGGAUCGGCCACACUGGAACUGAGACACGGUCCAGACUCCUACGGGAGGCAGCAGUAGGGAAUCUUCCGCAAUGGGCGAAAGCCUGACGGAGCAACGCCGCGUGAGUGAUGAAGGUCUUCGGAUCGUAAAACUCUGUUAUUAGGGAAGAACAUAUGUGUAAGUAACUGUGCACAUCUGGACGGUACCUAAGCAGAAAGCCACGGCUAACUACGG